GGUCAGAUGGUGUAGUGGUUACAUGUCCUUCUGUCAUAAUGCGUACUCCAAUAAACAGUUGCAUGGAAGUUCCCGGUUCGACUCUGGGUCUGGCCA